UACAGAACGAACGCUGGCGGCAUGCCUAACACAUGCAAGUCGAACGAGACCUUCGGGUCUAGUGGCGCACGGGUGCGUAACGCGUGGGAAUCUGCCUUGGGUUCGGAAUAACAGUUAGAAAUGACUGCUAAUACCGGAUAAUGUCUUCGGACCAAGAUUUAUCGCCCAGGGAUGAGCCCGCGUAGGAUUAGCUAGUUGGUGAGGUAAAGGCUCACCAAGGCGACGAUCCUUAGCUGGUCUGAGAGGAUGAUCAGCCACACUGGGACUGAGACACGGCCCAGACUCCUACGGGAGGCAGCAGUGGGGAAUAUUGGACAAUGGGCGAAAGCCUGAUCCAGCAAUGCCGCGUGAGUGAUGAAGGCCUUAGGGUUGUAAAGCUCUUUUACCCGGGAUGAUAAUGACAGUACCGGGAGAAUAAGCCCCGGCUAACUCCGUG
rnacentral:rRNA from 1 species